UACGUAGGGUGCGAGCGUUAAUCGGAAUUACUGGGCGUAAAGUGUGCGCAGGCGGCCGCGCAAGUCGAGUGUGAAAUCCCCCGAGCUUAACUUGGGAAUUGCGCUCGAAACUACGUGGCUGGAGUGUGGCAGAGGAAGGUGGAAUUCCACGUGUAGCGGUGAAAUGCGUAGAUAUGUGGAGGAACACCGAUGGCGAAGGCAGCCUUCUGGGCCAACACUGACGCUCAUGCACGAAAGCGUGGGGAGCAAACAGG
rnacentral:rRNA from 1 species